GACAGGGGAUGCAAGCGUUAUCCGGAAUGAUUGGGCGUAAAGCGUCUGUAGGUGGCUUUUUAAGUCUGCCGUCAAAUCCCAGGGCUCAACCCUGGCCAGGCGGUGGAGACUACUAAGCUGGAGUACGGUAGGGGCAGAGGGAAUUUCCGGUGGAGCGGUGAAAUGCGUAGAUAUCGGAAAGAACACCAAGGGCGAAGGCACUCUGCUGGGCCGAAACUGACACUGAGAGAAGAAAGCUAGGGGAGCGAAUGGG
rnacentral:rRNA from 1 species